UGCGUAGGCGGGGGAUUAAGUCAGUGGUGAAAUCCUACAGCUUAACUGUAGAACUGCCAUUGAUACUGGUUUUCUUGAGUAUAGUUGAAGUGGGCGGAAUGUGUAUUGUAGCGGUGAAAUGCUUAGAUAUUACACAGAACACCUAUUGCGAAGGCAGCUCACUAAACUAAUACUGACGCUGAGGCACGAAAGCGUGGGGAGCGAACAGGAUUAGAUACCCUGGUAGUCC
rnacentral:rRNA from 1 species